rnacentral:lncRNA from 10 species
AAUCAACAAGCUCAUUUCCUGAAGUGGAACAUGGAGUUCCUGACUCCACUAAUGGGAGUCAGGUAAUGGCGCGAGGGUUAUGAGUCAAAGCUGGCUUUCUCCAGGAUCCUGGGCAGCCCCCUAACUUCUCUGAGCCACAGUCUCCUCGUUUCACUACCAUGAAGGACCUUGUCCACCCAGAACUUCCAGGGACCACAUUUCAGG